rnacentral:rRNA from 1 species
UACGUAGGGUGCAAGCGUUGUCCGGAAUUAUUGGGCGUAAAGAGCUCGUAGGCGGUUUGUCGCGUCUGCUGUGAAAACUCGGGGCUUAACUCCGGGCUUGCAGUGGGUACGGGCAGACUAGAGUGCGGUAGGGGGGACUGGAAUUCCUGGUGUAGCGGUGAAGUGCGCAGAUAUCAGGAGGAACACCGGUGGCGAAGGCGGGUCUCUGGGCCGUAACUGACGCUGAGGAGCGAAAGCGUGGGGAGCGAACAGG